rnacentral:rRNA from 1 species
UACGGGGGGGGCAAGCGUUGUUCGGAAUUACUGGGCGUAAAGGGCUCGUAGGCGGCCAACUAAGUCCGACGUGAAAUCCCAAGGCUUAACCUUGGAACUGCGUCGGAUACUGGAUGGCUUGAAUUCGGGAGAGGGAUGCAGAAUUCCAGGUGUAGCGGUGAAAUGCGUAGAUAUCAGGAGGAACACCAAUUGCGAAGGCAGCUCGCUGGAACGUAACUGACGCUGAGACGCGAAAGCGUGGGGAGCAAACAGG